rnacentral:lncRNA from 1 species
AUUGAGAGCGAGGGAGACAGAACAUUAAACGCUACCUGACUGUAUGCUACAGUAGGAGGCUGUAUUUUUAUCAGGGGUUUCUGGUGACAAUUUAAGCUGGGAGAACAAAGCGGUACAUGAUGAACACAUGUCACUAGAAACCGGAGAUAAAAUCCUGUGCAGCCCUGUGCCACGUACAGCUUGGAUGUAUUUUUAGUUUUAAUCAUGCCUGGGAAACAACAGGGACAGCCGCCCCUGUCCGCCGAUCCCUACCCUUGCCUCGCUCUUUGCUGCCCUUGGCUGCUUCCAGUUUCUGGGAGUGCCAUGUCCAAGCUGCAGUUUCGAGCCUGGCUUGGCUUAGCCGAAUGGAACCCCUGGACAGUGACUUGUCUGAUCUUGCCCUCUCCUCGCCUGAAUGGAAAUGGUCUGGAGCCUCACGUUCAGGCAUGGCAUUCUCACCCACAGCCCUUGGUCCCUGGGACCAGUCUUGAAGGUGCAAGAAGGAGCACAGCAGCAUCGCCGAUUGAAUUGCUUUCAAAGCAACUCUACACUGCGAGACCUGGUGAAGGAGCUGAGAGGUGGGGCAGUUGCUUAGAACAGGCAAGAGUCUAUGAUCGCAUAAAGUUCAACUGUCUUCUGCUCUGGCAGUGACUCUGGGAGGCAGAGCCAUGUUUGUGAUGGGAAAGUCGAGGUUCUCAAAGGGAAGUGGCUUGGAAAACUUGACUUGGGAUCGAAAUCCACAGAAAAGUCCUUUCAAACAAUGAAAUCCCCAACCAAACCCAGGAAGAGAAAUCAACUGGAUUUCCUGUGCUCACAGUGGGGUCCUUAUAAGAUUCCUUGAAGUCUUUGCUCAAGUAGGAUCCAGCCAUUUAUUCAGGUAAAGUCACUCCCUCCCUUGGGAGUAUCAAUCCGGGAAAGAUUGAUCAUCUAGAUAUGGUAUAAUACGGAGACACAGUCGAUCAGGAGGAUUUAUUAAUAAUAAUAAUAAUAAUAAUGUUGGUAUUUGUUAAGCGCUUACUAUGUGCCGAGCACUGUUCUAAGCGCUGGGGUAGACACAGGGGAAUCAGGUUGUCCCACGUGGGGCUCACAGUCUUAAUCCCCAUUUUACAGAUGAGGGAACUGAGGCACCGAGAAGUUAAGUGACUUAUUGAGCACCUAGUGGGUGCACACCCCUAUAUGAAGAGCUUGGGAGAGCACAGACGACCUAGUAGACAUGUUUCCUGCCCUCAAGGAGCUUUAAUAAGAAGCACUUUUUCUAGGUGAUAGACGUUCAAAGUGGCACAGAACUGCAUACUGGAGAUAAAGUGAUGUUCUCAGCCGUUCUCAUUUGACACCUGUUAUCCUGUGUCUUGACUAAAAUCAAAUAGAGGACACUUCCAUUUCACCUCCCUAAGUCUUCCUGGGACUGAAAACGGAUGCCACAUUCUCCUGUCCAAAAUCAUCACAUCGUGUGACCUCUUGUGGAGUGGCUGUUAAGUAAUUACCCGGUCUCACCCUAUAGGAAACCACCUUUCAGAAAUAGGCGGCAGGUGUGGUUUCUUUGCAUUGUAAGUGCUCUGUGAUCCUCUCAGGAAGAAACCAUCCACUGAUAUUUACUAAGUGCCCAUCGGGUUCAUAGCCCUAACCUAGGAGCUAGGAGAAAUACACAGUUACUACUGUCCGCUCUUCUUUCUUCGUAUACCAGUGUGUGCUCGGCCAUAUGUGCUGCAUGAGAGUAAGUACACACAGGGGCGACGACAUACCUCCAAACGGUAAGCUCAUUUCACUGGGAAACCUUCUCAGCACCAAGAGGAAGCAAAGCAAUUACUGAUGACUCCAAAAUGGAGAGAGAGGGGAGAGCCAGACAGGCUCUGGAACGCUUAAAGAAAAAACCCUUCACGUAAAGGGCAAGAGCUCCUUCCCUUGAUAAAAAUCCAACAGGUAAUUUAUUUACGUGACUUGCAACUGCCGUCUUCGUCAUCUUCGUUUUCAUUUAAAGAGCACUGGUGGGGGGGUGAUGGGAAGAUAAACUCUCCAGAUGCUAAUAAACCUCCAGCCCACCCCUUCCUUGUACCGAUGAUGGGAUGAUCAUUAGGGGAAAAGCUGCAAUAGAUCUUUUUUUGUAUCAUUUCUGAAUCUCUUUCCCUGUCUCUCUCUCUCUUUCCCCCCUCCUUUCCAGAUUAAUCAGAGAAGCAGAUCGAGGGCUGUUGCAUAGAGACAGCCUCAUCUCAGAUCCCACCCUGCAUACUAAUCACAGCUUCCACUCCAGGGGCUGAGACAUGGCGUCAAGCUUGCAAGUCAGUGAUAGACCAGGGAGAGGGAGGGGAAAUGGUUGGCUUCACUGGGUAGCAGCAGCAGGGAGUCUUUGGGACAGCUGGAUGGUAAGGGGUGGGGACUGCGGAAGCUAGUGCCUGCCAUCCAGAGAGCCUGUGGGGCAUCAUGAGUGUGGGUAUUUUCCAUCACACACAAGGAGAGUCCCUGCACCCUUCCCUCACCAGCAUUUAUUGACUAGCCCUGUUGGAGAAGCAGCGUGGCCUAGUGAAAAGAGCACAGCCCUGGGAGUCAGAGGACCUGGGCUCUAAUUCAUUCAUUCAUUCAAUCGUUUCUAUUCCCUACUCAGCCCCAUGUCUGCUGUGUGUGAAUUUGAGCAAGUCCCUUAAUUUCUCGGCGCUUUGGUUUCCUCAUCUGUAAAAUGGGGAUUAAAUCCUAGUCCUCCCACCUAGACUGAGAGCCCUUGCAGGACAGAGACUAUGUCCAUCCUGAUAACCUUGUAUCUACCCUAUCCUUAGAACAGUGCCUGGCAUGUGGUAAGCACUUAAGAAACCCUGCAAUUAUUAUUAGGGGCAUCAGAAGCAGGGACAACUGCAGGGUUGUUAUGGCAGAGGAGAGGGAGCAGGGCAGGCUUUUGUCUCCACUGUGUUGGGGGAGGUUGGAGAUUCUCCUUCUUUAAAGAAGCUAAGACUAAGGUAGAUAUUUAGAGUCAGAGCUGCCUAGAGUCAGAGGGCUGGGUUGGGUGACCUGCAAAUCCCAUCUGGAUAGCAAUUACGCUUGGCCUAGUGGAAAGAGCACAGACCUGGGAGUCAGAGGACCUGGGUUCUAACCCCGGCUCUGCUAAAUGCUUGCUGUGUGACCUUGGGUAAGUCUGUAAAAU